ACGGGGAAAGUAGUUUAACUGCGUGUCCUGUCUGGCGCACCCUUCUGGGUUAUUUCCACCUUUCAUUGUCUUUGAGCUGGGGGGGACAGCACAAAGUUGCACCCAACAAGGAACAGUGCGAACAAUUCUGGGCAGUAUUCACAUAAAUUAACUGAGUCCCAGGGGAUGGUAGUUGUGGCCCUGGGGAUGGGCCGGUUUGCAUUUAUUUGUAAUUCCAUCGCAGCCUUCCCCGUUUGCCUGCAUCUUGAGGAUCCUUGAGUUUUCUCUGCAAACUGCCUGUACCAUCUCACUGGUUUCUUCCCCCUUCACUGAAUGCGUUACGUGCAACCCGUGGCACAUGUUCACUUCAUCCUGGUACAAGAGAGCCACGGUUUUCCUUUUGUUGGGAUCUGCCCUGGAACGACAGAAUUGCUGUCUGCAGAGUCCAGGAGCUUGGUUUAGCCCCUGAGAUUCUCCAGCCGAAGUCACAUUCCCACGUGGGGCUGGGAGAUGGGGACGCUCAGCAGGGCUGGGGAUGCCGGCUGCCUCGCCCUCGCCGGCUGACGUCUGACAGAUGAGAAAGUCACACAGGAGACCCCUCGGGGAGCCUGGGCUGGGCAGGCCAGGAGCCAGGGCCGGGCCUGGGGCCUCCUCGGCUCUUAAAGGCCAACUGGGAAAAGAGGUGCCAGAUAUAUUCCAUGCUCUGUCCCCUGGGAGCAGACGACAGCCAUUACCCAGCCGUCUAGUCAGCACUGGAAGGGACCCCGAGACCAUCUGGCCAGCUCACUGCCGGUGCUGCUGAGGCCCCCCAGCCGGGUUUGGUCUAGGAAAGCCCUGGGGACUUGCUGUGUGCCUGUGCCCACACUGAGCUGGUCACGUCCUCCUGACGAUCCUUGGGACAUCCCCGUGAGAGGCGGGUACGGGCACGGCCGCCCAUCAGGGGUGAACCUCCGAAGCCCGAGGAAGGUCAGGUGACCAGCCCGAGGUCACGGUGCAGCCAGAUGGGCCGCAGCUAAGGGUCCCAGGCCUCCAGCCCUGUCCUUCCACCGACAUUGGUGGGUCCAGGGGCAGAGACAUCCUAGUGGUCCCUGUGGAACAAACUGUGCUCCCGGGGCUCCUGGCACCCGCCCAGACAAGGGGCUUUUGUUUGGUUCAGAAGAAAGGGAGCCCUUAAUGAAAAAACCAAAACAGUAAAAAGCACUUGCAGGGGAAAUAUAAAUACCACCUGCCGGGUGGCUGUUAGCUCGCUCGGAAAAAUGCAUCUGUCACUGGGGGUCUUGUGGGCUGUCCUGUGUUCUUCCGCAGCUGUCUCCCGGCAGAGCGGGCAGGUCACCUUGGGCCCAGGCCUGGGCCCCUUCGGGGGGCUGUGGAUGGCCGAGCUCCCCCUGCAGCUGGCUCCCAUCCCGCACGGUCUCCGGCCAUCUGUCUUUAUGACCUUGAUGCUCCUCAAGGCCAUACAAGCACGCUGGCGUGGAGUCCCCGUGGUAAAGCAGAGACAGAUUCGGAGUCUCUAGGUAUGCGAACUUAAGGCCUCGGAGCCUCAUUUUCCUCACCUGGAGAAUGGGGACAGUCACGCUUUUUCCCUGCGGGAUGUCCUCAGCUGUGUGCCAGAGCCACCUCCCACUGGCCCACAAGAGCCGAUUUUGUGCGUCCCCUCCCCUCUCCGGGAUGUCCUGUUGGUCGCGGGAAGUGAGCCAUGGUGGGGGGUGGGGGGUAUUCACACCCUGGAAAUCUGCACACUCUCCAGAUGAAGCCUCGUCCCCACGGAGCCCGUUGUCAACCGUUUGCCAGCACGUGGCUGGCAGUUGUGCGAACGCGUGGCAGGGGUUAUGUGCCAGGCACUUGGGAGGCUUGUCCCUGUGGGGCCUGAGGACUUCGGUGUAACGGGAUGCGAGACCGCUGGGUCUGGAUGGGCCGCCAAGGCUGGGGUCCCCGCCUGGAGGCUGAGACACUGGAUGCCUGAGCGCCCCCUGUGCCUCUGCCCCCGGGUCAGUGCACAUGUUGAAUCUAAGAGGGUAAGAUUUGAACUCUUGUGGAAGCGACAUUUCCUGCGUAUUCCUUUUGCCAGAGACAGAGGGAUCUUUGGGGAAAAGGCUUCUUGGUUUUUUUU